rnacentral:lncRNA from 1 species
GAUGCAGGUGGGGGUGUGAGAGGGGAUGGUGGCGAGCUCGGUGCACGGGUGCGUGUGCCAGGCUGCUGGGAGUGAGCGCGAGGCUGUGUGUCACAGCUGUUGUUCACUGAGACCGAGCUAACAUCAGCUCAGUCCACAGCUACCUGUGAAGGAAGACGGCCGCACCAGGAGACACCUGUUUGAGCUGGUGGGUGGACCUCCUGGCUCCUGACUGCUCUGUUCUCGAUGUGCCUUGGAAGGGUCUUUGAGUGCAAGCUUCUUCUGGGGAGAUGGCCGUGUCUGGCCCACGUCUUCCGGUGCUCACAGGACUGUGAGGAAUUUGCAAAUCCAGGUUUAAGGUUUGGGAAGCGAGGCUUUGUGACCUGCCUGCCUGUCUCAGCGUCUUGUGGUUCUCACAGGAGCUGAAUUUCUGAGGUUGCAUGGUUCCCUCUGAAUUCCUGAAAGCCCGAGGACAAACAGAACAGAAGAUGUUCUCAACAUGAGUGUGGGUAAUUUGUUUCCAGUGAAGACACAGUGUGGAUAAUUUACCUGUACAAGUCAAGAGAUGGAUACUUUUCCCAUCCAGUCUCACUGUGAC